rnacentral:tRNA from 2 species
UCCUCUGUAGUUCAGUCGGUAGAACGGCGGACUGUUAAUCCGUAUGUCACUGGUUCGAGUCCAGUAAGAGGAGCCA